CAUAUAUGUGUAUGUGUGUGUGUGUGUGUGUGUGUACAGAUGCUUGGGUGUACACACACACACACACACACACACACACACCACCCA
rnacentral:miRNA from 1 species